GAGUUUGAUCCUGGCUCAGAACGAACUGCUGGCUGGCGCUGCCUAACACAUGCAAGUCGAACUGAGAGGCUCUUCUGGAGAAGUAAAGUGGCUGAACUGGGUGAGUAAUACAUGGGUAAUCUGCCUUUGAGCGGGGGAUAACCAGCCUGAAAGGCUGGCUAAUACCCCAUACGCUUCCGGUCCUUCGGGUAAGGAAGGAAAGCUGCAUCGUGGAUGUGGCACUCGAAGAUGGGCCCAUGGCCUAUCAGCUUGUUGGUGGGGUAAUGGCCUACCAAGGCAACGACGGGUAGCUGGUCUGAGAGGACGAUCAGCCACACUGGCACUGAGAUACGGGCCAGACUCCUACGGGAGGCAGCAGUGAGGAAUAUUGCGCAAUGGGCGAAAGCCUGACGCAGCGACGCCGCGUGGGGGAAGAAGGUUUUCGGAUUGUAAACCCCUUUUAGGAGGAAAGAUGGGGUGGUUCGCCACCCGGACGGUACCUCCAGAAAAAGCCACGGCUAACUUCGUGCCAGCAGCCGCGGUAAUACGAAGGUGGCGAGCGUUGUUCGGAUUUACUGGGCGUAAAGAGCACGUAGGCGGUUUAGUAAGCCCCUUGGGAAAGCUACGGGCUUAACCCGUAAAGGUCGAGGGGGACUGCUAAGCUAGAGGGCGGGAGAGGAGCGCGGAAUUUCCGGUGUAUGCAAGUGAAAUGCGUAGAUAUCGGGAAGAAGGCCGGUGGCAGAAGGCAGGCAGCUCUGGAACAGUCUCUGACGCUGAGGUGCGAAAGCAGUGGGGAGCAAACAGGAUUAGAUACCCUGGUAGUC
rnacentral:rRNA from 1 species